GCCAGAGUGGUGCAGUGGUUUGAGUGUUAGAUUAGAGCUCUGGAGACUAAGGUUUGAAUCUUGGCUCAGCCA